CUCUUCCUCCUCCAGCUCCAACUGCAGUGGCAAGGUCUGGGGAUUGAGAGGCCCGGCAUGACUAAGAGAUAUCGUGAAAUUACAACUCAACAAUGAAUUACAGCACAGGCUUUUCACAACUAAGAGACUGUCCAUCAUGGUGCCAGUUUUUCUCAAAAUGGCAUGUGUGCAUGAAAUUCUACAGGCAUAUGGGGUCGUGAUCUGCUAAUCUCCAGUUAUUAUACAAAACUACAGAUACUUGAAAACAGAACCAAAUAAAAAUUCUAGCAGAAGAAGACAAUAUAUGAAAUUUAAUAAUUCAUUUCCUGGGAAUGACAGCAGAAAGGUGAUGACAGAGGAAAGAGCCAAUAAAAUUUGAAGACAGACUACUUUGAAAAGGGACUUUCCAGCUAUCAGUACACUAUCUCACAAUUACCCUUGAACCAGAAGACAAUGAAUGAUUUGCUAAACAGAUGGCAUAGUCUAUGACAUGCAUCAUAUGUGUGAGCAAUCACAGAAGACCAAAUUAUGAUUGUAUGUCCCAGAAAUUCACUUAGAAGCUAAUAGAAAAAAUGAAACCAAAGCCUUUUGGUGAACUAUGACUUGGAAUCCUCCAGGCUUUGGCUUCCAUCACACUCCAUGAACUUGAUGCACAUAAUUUAAUGUAGGCCUCCACCCAAUAUCAUCAGUUCUCUUGCAUGUUGAACCCCCAGUUUCCUGGAUCUGACCAACAUGACCUUAAUGUUCCUAUCAGCUCGACUAAACUUUAAAGAGAUUUCUUCCUCAAUAUGGGCCUCUAACUUCCCUUUUCUUAGAGCAUUUACUUUAGAAAUUUUGCAAUUAUCAAUUUUUUCUCCCUAUUUUUGAGAUGUAAAUUUUCUACAACUCAGGAAUGUCUUUCUCAAGGACAUGAGAGAUAUCCCUUUGAAAUGUAAUUGUGAAAAAUGAUAGCACCUCUAUUUCAAUCUGUGUAGGAGAGUAGGAGCCUAACUCAGAAACUGCUGAUGCUGACCUGUGCCUCAAGAGGCUUGCCUGUUUGGGGGAGAAGCCUGAUGUGGAGACCAUUGGAAGAGGCUAAGGCAAGCUACCUGUUCCUUAAACAGAUUGUUCAACCUAUUCCAGUUUUUGGUCCUCUACCUCACACAUUCCUUCCACUUCCAAAUCCUGUUGUUAGAGGAUGUUACCUGCCAAAUUUGUACUUUGGAAUCCUCCUCUGCAUGUUCAUAAGUUUUUGGGUUUUCCUUUCUGCUCACUUGCCAAUCCUCUAUCUACUUUCAAUCUUCUAAAAAUUGCUGAAACUUCUUGUCUCACUGUUAAUUCUUUAACAUCAAUUUGUUGGUAUUUUAGGAUAAAAUAUAAGUAAGUGUAUAUCUUCAACCAGCUAUCAUUAAAUGGAAAAUUUCUGGUAUUAUUUUAUACUUUCAUCUAUUUUCCUGUAGACAUUUAAACAAGAAGUCUCUGUGUGUAUGUGCACAUAUUCAAUGUUUUAACUACAAAAUAUAAAUUUCUUCUUGUAAAACAGACAACAUAAGGGUUUUCUUGAAGUCCCCUUUUAAAUAUAACAGGAAUUCCUCAGUGUGAUCUGUGCCAUGUAUAUCAGCAGGUUAUUUAAUUCCUGUAUGCUUUGUAAUUUUCAGCUCAAAAUUAUGACUUUUGACACAAACCACAAGUCUCAAUGUCACAAAAUAAGGUAGAAAACCACAAACAAGCUGGGCAUGGUGGCUCAUGCCAUAUAAUCCCAGCACUUUGGGGGGGCCGAGGCAGGCGGAUCACAAGGUCAGGAGAUCAAGACCAUCCUGGCUAACAUGGUGAAACCCCGUCUCUACUAAAUAUACAAAAAGUUAGCUGGGCGUGGUGCCACAUGCCUGUAGUCCCAGCUACUCCGAAGGCUGAGGCAGGAGAAUCGCUUGAACCCGGGAGGCGGAGGUUUCAGUAAGCCGAAAUCGUGCCACUACCCUCCAGCCUGGGCAAAAGAGCGAGACUAUGUCUCAAAAAAAAAAAAAAGAAAAGAAAAGCACAAACAAAAUCUUUUACACUCUGGAUGCAUUCGGGAUGUAUUCAUAGGAAAAACAUGAAAAAGGGACUCAGAAUUGUUAACAUGAUAAAACUUUUAAAUCUAAAGAAAACUUUCAUAAUUAUAUGUUCUCAUCAGCAUAGUGAUAAAAAAUCUUGGUGUUAAUUUAUUUAUUCAUCUCUCCUAGUAAAUCUUCAGAAAGUUCAGAUUAAAGGACCCCAUUUUUAGUCAUGUCAUUUCUUCAAAAUAACAAGGUCUGAUGAUGUGUUACAUGAAAGCUGUUAUUAGCACUAAAAUUUGUUUCUGACAGGGCCUGUAUGUAUUCAGGUCAAUGUAAGAAGCCUAAUUGCUCAACAAAUAAUAAGCAUUUGAUUAAAAAAAGAAUUGAUAAGUAAAUGAGAAAAUGAUACUAAUGACAUUUCAGAAUUUCAAUAAAGAGCUAAAAUUUACUUUUCCAGCUUAUGGUAUUUGAAGAGCAAAGCACACAUGCAUAUAACUGUUAUGAUAGUAAGUAAUGGGGGCUAGAUUACAGAGAUUUGAAGAUGGAGUGUGAGAGUUGCAAUUUAAAAAUAUGAAAUAUUUUCUUAGAUUUCUGGAGUUUUCUAUUACCUUCUUCUUUUAGAAUAAUAUUAAAAAUGGAUAACUUCUCAUUUCUAGGCAGUGUGGUUACUAAAAGGCUAGAAAUGCACUCCUUAUGAAAUGGCAAUAAGCCUAGAGUUAUCAAGUUAGUUACACAAAUAUUAAUAAUUCCUAUACCAUAUGUAAAUCACCUUACCAGGCCAUAAUGAUGUGAUGUGAAUCUAUAUAAGAUAGUAAGAUAGCAUAUAUGACAUCAUGGGGCUAUUGUCUCUUUUGGGAAACUAGGUAUAAAAAUAAAAUAUACCGAUAUAAGAAAGUAUUUGAUAAGUACUUAAUAAGUGAUGUGGACAAUCUAUGUCCAAGAAUUCAAAUGGUAUGGUGCCUGGGAACUCUAGCUGGAACCUGAAAGAGCCAGGCUUAGAUAGACCCACAGCCAGGGGAAAAAAGACAAUUUUAAGUAAAGUGAAACAAUAAUCAAAACUAUAGAUAUACAACUUGUAUUUCUAAGUAGCAAUAUGUAGCCUUAUACUUAUGAGAUGGGAUUUUGUUAGUAGUAGUAUAGAAUAGCAUUGGAAAGAUAAACUGCGGCUAGAUUGAAGAGGGACCUAAGUGCCAGAUCAAUAAAUCCUGCUUAUUGAAAGGUUUUUGAUCAGUAAGAGACCACAAGCACCAUUAAAUAUAAGCCAAGAGUUAUUACAAUAAAACUAAUCCUUCUCUUGUAGGAUUGGGUGGGCUGUGCAGGAGAUAUGUGGUGCAACCAGUACAGGUGCUGUAUUUAAUAGUAGUCAUGAGGAAGUUGGUAACACAGAUGCCAUUAUUAUAAAUUCUGAGUGCUUGACCUUAAUUAUACCCAGACUACUCUCCUGAGUUCUACAAGGAUACAGAGAAGCAGAAACUAUGACCAGGAGCAGUGCUUUUAAUAUUUUCAGAGUUAAGAAUGGGACCAAGUCAGCAUUCUCCUUACCUUAAAACAUAUUUAUGUUGAUGACAUUAGAGGAAUGCCAAGCAAGUACAUUUAAGGGAAAAAAGCAAAUUUUAACAAACAAAACAUACCCUGGGAAGUAUCAAUAUUUACAUUAACAAAACUAUAUGCAUUUCAUCUUUACAACUGAGAGAAAUAGGAAAAUCCAUGAUGAAUAACAUCCUGUAAUUAGCAAAGGAUGCAGGAGAUGGAAUAGUGGGGGAGGCUGUAUUUGACAUGAAGAAUCACGUAUUUUCAUGAACUCUUAUUUAUUUACAAUCAACAUAUACUGGAUUAAAUUUUAAGUUAUCAUCAGAAAGCACUGUUCUGUAUUGCACUGCCAAUAUCUACAUGUGGACACUCACUCAUAGAAAACCCUGAAAAAUUCUUUAAAAUUGUUAUUAGUCAUGGCUUGUUUUCUGCUGGUGAAUUUAUCAUUCUAAGUAUAGCAUUUUUCUGGUAAUACUUGUAUAGAUCUAUGCAAAUCCACUUCUACAUAUAAAACCCCCAAUGCUAAAGUUAUCCUGGUAGCAUAUGAAAAGCAGUGAAAGCAAAUUAUAUUGUUCAAGAUGCGAGGAAGAACAGCUGAGAAAGUAUGGUUUUGAGAAGAUAACCAAAAUUACAAAUAUGUUUAUUUAACAGGUUGAAUGAAAGCUGCCUUUAUAGAAAUGCAGCCCAGAACACAAAAAAUUUAUAUCUACCCACUAAAAAAUUCAAAGGUGUGAUUCAUUCCACUAUAUUAUGAAGGGCGAUCAGAUAUAUACUCCUGUUCCUACUUUGUUAGAGUCUUCAACUAUGGGUAACUUUGGGAUCUGGUUGAUUAUAUAUCAUAAUUCAAUAUGACACCAUAGCUAGGGUUAACUCCAGCUCUUGGUUCCUGACAUUAGUUAUUCAGGAAAGAGUUUAUAAAAUAUUUCUGUGAGCAUGGAAAACAUUACAACCAUUGCUCUAAAAACAUAUAAGUAAAGGCCAGUGGUAUUUGUCUUUCUAAAAGCUAAUCUUUUGGCUGGGUGCAGUGGCUCACACCUGUAAAUCCAGCACUUUGGGAGGCUAAGGCAGGUGGAUCACCUUGGGAGUUUGAGACCAGCCUGGCCACAGUGGUGAAAUCCCAUCUCUACUAAAAAUACAAAAUAAAAUAAAUAAGGCUGGCAUGGUGGUGCACACCUGUAGUCCCAGCUACUCAUGAGGCUGAAGCAGGAGAAUCGCUUUAGCCCAGGAGGCGGAGGUUGCAGGGAGCUGAGAUCUUGCCACUGCACUCCAGCCUGGGCAACAGAGCAAGACACUGUCUCAAAAAAAAAAAAAAAAAAAAAAAAAAAAAAAAAAAAAAAGCUAGUGUUUUAACAACAAAAUGUAUUUCUUCUGAUUAUGUGGAAAGAUUCACUAAAGAUAUAAUGUAAAAUAUUUAAAGUUCAUUGCUAUUAUAUGUUUUAAUUAUUUCUUGCCUGAAAACAGGUUUCUCAUGUCCAUGUACCAACAAAGGCCAUUAUUUCUUUUUUCCAAGUCUUAUCGCGACUGCCUUCUUGGUCCAGAUAAAUGUUUUAUGUUGUCUGUCAUUGGUCUAUUCUUUUUGCAUUCUGAGUAUUGCUACAAAUAUUGCAUUUUUAUGAAAGCCUCCUUAUAACUUCCUAUUAACAUUCUGCGUAUCUCUCUUCGUUUGAAUUAAUACUUUGAGUUACCCCUUCUCAACAGCUUUUCCUGAUUAAUUCCAUUCCUUUUCAAACCUCACAGUGUUAGACCUGGUACCUCUUUAUAUGUACGAAUAGCAACAUUGUCUUAGUCAGUUGCUUUUUUCUUAAGGGUACAGGAACAUGUUAAACCCGAUAUGUUCACAGUUCCUUCUCAAGAAGUGCAUAUCAACUCUCAACUGCAGAAGAAAGUUUGCUGCUAGAAUACAAAGAAUUUUGUUUUAAGGUGAUCCUUGUAAUUCACUGAAAGGUAAAAAAGGAAAACAAGGAAGAAAGAUGGAAGGAAAGAAGAAAGGAAGGAUGAGAGGGAAGGAGGGAAGGAUGGAAAUGAAAAGAAAAAAUAGGAAACGGGAAAAAAUUCAAUAAGCAAAUCUCCAUGCUAUGUUAAAGUUCAUCGAACUUCCAGGCUCAAAAUCUCAAUUUUAUUUUCCACCUCUAAAGUUAGAACUCAUCAGCUAUGAGUGGGAUCUAAGUUUGGCAAAAUGAGUCUUCUCUCUUUCACGCCUUUACUAGCAGAUGCUAGAGGCAGAAUUUUCUCAGCUGGUUACGAUAAUGAAAGAUCAACUUCUCACUGACUUUAUAGUUUCCAAUGUACUGAAUCCUUUUUUGGCAGAGCUUUUCCUGCUGUUUUCUCACUUUCCUGUUUGUUCCCUCCCCACAGGUAUCUUUUCCCAUAUUGUGAGUGUUCCUUUCCCUAAGAGCUUUGAAAAGUUAGCUGCAUUCACUCUAGAGGCUCAGUUUUCAAUGAACAGGUUAAGUAUUUCCAGAGAUAUUACUGCCAUUUAAGAACUCACCUGAGGCCACAAUUUUACUAAUUUUAAAAGCAUAUUUAUGUGAAUUUUUAAUUAGCAUGAAGGCACAGACAUGCUGAAGAUAUUGAAGGCUUAGAGACAUUUAAGAAACAAGGCAAUGUCCUCCUCAAUAGUUCCCCACCAUUACUGCCAGUCACUAUUGUCCCUGAAUAGGAAACCCACCCCUGGUACUGUCAUUAUCAUUUUUCGAUAGUCAGAAAUUAUGACUCGUAUAGUGUCUGUGCUUGGCUCCAGAAAUUAGUUUUGCUUCUAUUUUCGGUUGACACGUAGUAAUUGUAUGUGUUUAUAGGAUACAGAGUGAUAUUUUGAUUCAUGUAUCAAAUCAGAAUCAUUAGCAUAUCCAUCACCUCAAUAUUUAUCCUUUGUGUUGGAGACAUUCAAAAUCCUCUCUUCUAGCUAUUUGAAAAUAUACAAUAAAUGAUUGUUAACUAAAGUCACCCUGCAAUGCUAUAGAACACUAAAAUUUAUUCCUCCCAACUAGCUGUAAAUUUUAAUUCAUUAACCAACCUCUCCCUAUCCUUCUCUCCCGACUCUUCUCAG
rnacentral:lncRNA from 1 species